rnacentral:rRNA from 1 species
GGGUUGUGAGGUUAAGCGACUAAGCGUACACGGUGGAUGCCCUGGCAGUCAGAGGCGAUGAAGGACGUGCUAAUCUGCGAUAAGCGUCGGUAAGGUGAUAUGAACCGUUAUAACCGGCGAUUUCCGAAUGGGGAAACCCAGUGUGAUUCGUCACACUAUCAUUAACUGAAUCCAUAGGUUAAUGAGGCGAACCGGGGGAACUGAAACAUCUAAGUACCCCGAGGAAAAGAAAUCAACCGAGAUUCCCCCAGUAGCGGCGAGCGAACGGGGAGCAGCCCAGAGCCUGAAUCAGUGUGUGUGUUAGUGGAAGCGUCUGGAAAGGCGCGCGAUACAGGGUGACAGCCCCGUACACAAAAAUGCACAUGCUGUGAGCUCGAUGAGUAGGGCGGGACACGUGGUAUCCUGUCUGAAUAUGGGGGGACCAUCCUCCAAGGCUAAAUACUCCUGACUGACCGAUAGUGAACCAGUACCGUGAGGGAAAGGCGAAAAGAACCCCGGCGAGGGGAGUGAAAAAGAACCUGAAACCGUGUACGUACAAGCAGUGGGAGCACGCUUAGGCGUGUGACUGCGUACCUUUUGUAUAAUGGGUCAGCGACUUAUAUUCUGUAGCAAGGUUAACCGAAUAGGGGAGCCGAAGGGAAACCGAGUCUUAACUGGGCGUUAAGUUGCAGGGUAUAGACCCGAAACCCGGUGAUCUAGCCAUGGGCAGGUUGAAGGUUGGGUAACACUAACUGGAGGACCGAACCGACUAAUGUUGAAAAAUUAGCGGAUGACUUGUGGCUGGGGGUGAAAGGCCAAUCAAACCGGGAGAUAGCUGGUUCUCCCCGAAAGCUAUUUAGGUAGCGCCUCGUGAAUUCAUCUCCGGGGGUAGAGCACUGUUUCGGCAAGGGGGUCAUCCCGACUUACCAACCCGAUGCAAACUGCGAAUACCGGAGAAUGUUAUCACGGGAGACACACGGCGGGUGCUAACGUCCGUCGUGAAGAGGGAAACAACCCAGACCGCCAGCUAAGGUCCCAAAGUCAUGGUUAAGUGGGAAACGAUGUGGGAAGGCCCAGACAGCCAGGAUGUUGGCUUAGAAGCAGCCAUCAUUUAAAGAAAGCGUAAUAGCUCACUGGUCGAGUCGGCCUGCGCGGAAGAUGUAACGGGGCUAAACCAUGCACCGAAGCUGCGGCAGCGACGCUUAUGCGUUGUUGGGUAGGGGAGCGUUCUGUAAGCCUGCGAAGGUGUGCUGUGAGGCAUGCUGGAGGUAUCAGAAGUGCGAAUGCUGACAUAAGUAACGAUAAAGCGGGUGAAAAGCCCGCUCGCCGGAAGACCAAGGGUUCCUGUCCAACGUUAAUCGGGGCAGGGUGAGUCGACCCCUAAGGCGAGGCCGAAAGGCGUAGUCGAUGGGAAACAGGUUAAUAUUCCUGUACUUGGUGUUACUGCGAAGGGGGGACGGAGAAGGCUAUGUUGGCCGGGCGACGGUUGUCCCGGUUUAAGCGUGUAGGCUGGUUUUCCAGGCAAAUCCGGAAAAUCAAGGCUGAGGCGUGAUGACGAGGCACUACGGUGCUGAAGCAACAAAUGCCCUGCUUCCAGGAAAAGCCUCUAAGCAUCAGGUAACAUCAAAUCGUACCCCAAACCGACACAGGUGGUCAGGUAGAGAAUACCAAGGCGCUUGAGAGAACUCGGGUGAAGGAACUAGGCAAAAUGGUGCCGUAACUUCGGGAGAAGGCACGCUGAUAUGUAGGUGAAGUCCCUCGCGGAUGGAGCUGAAAUCAGUCGAAGAUACCAGCUGGCUGCAACUGUUUAUUAAAAACACAGCACUGUGCAAACACGAAAGUGGACGUAUACGGUGUGACGCCUGCCCGGUGCCGGAAGGUUAAUUGAUGGGGUCAGCGCAAGCGAAGCUCUUGAUCGAAGCCCCGGUAAACGGCGGCCGUAACUAUAACGGUCCUAAGGUAGCGAAAUUCCUUGUCGGGUAAGUUCCGACCUGCACGAAUGGCGUAAUGAUGGCCAGGCUGUCUCCACCCGAGACUCAGUGAAAUUGAACUCGCUGUGAAGAUGCAGUGUACCCGCGGCAAGACGGAAAGACCCCGUGAACCUUUACUAUAGCUUGACACUGAACAUUGAGCCUUGAUGUGUAGGAUAGGUGGGAGGCUUUGAAGUGUGGACGCCAGUCUGCAUGGAGCCGACCUUGAAAUACCACCCUUUAAUGUUUGAUGUUCUAACGUUGACCCGUAAUCCGGGUUGCGGACAGUGUCUGGUGGGUAGUUUGACUGGGGCGGUCUCCUCCUAAAGAGUAACGGAGGAGCACGAAGGUUGGCUAAUCCUGGUCGGACAUCAGGAGGUUAGUGCAAUGGCAUAAGCCAGCUUGACUGCGAGCGUGACGGCGCGAGCAGGUGCGAAAGCAGGUCAUAGUGAUCCGGUGGUUCUGAAUGGAAGGGCCAUCGCUCAACGGAUAAAAGGUACUCCGGGGAUAACAGGCUGAUACCGCCCAAGAGUUCAUAUCGACGGCGGUGUUUGGCACCUCGAUGUCGGCUCAUCACAUCCUGGGGCUGAAGUAGGUCCCAAGGGUAUGGCUGUUCGCCAUUUAAAGUGGUACGCGAGCUGGGUUUAGAACGUCGUGAGACAGUUCGGUCCCUAUCUGCCGUGGGCGCUGGAGAACUGAGGGGGGCUGCUCCUAGUACGAGAGGACCGGAGUGGACGCAUCACUGGUGUUCGGGUUGUCAUGCCAAUGGCACUGCCCGGUAGCUAAAUGCGGAAGAGAUAAGUGCUGAAAGCAUCUAAGCACGAAACUUGCCCCGAGAUGAGUUCUCCCUGACUCCUUGAGAGUCCUGAAGGAACGUUGAAGACGACGACGUUGAUAGGCCGGAUGUGUAAGCGCAGCGAUGCGUUGAGCUAACCGGUACUAAUGAACCGUGAGGCUUAACCUUACAACGCCGAAG